rnacentral:rRNA from 1 species
GAUGAACGCUGGCGGCGUGCCUAACACAUGCAAGUCGAGCGGAGCGGGGACGGGUGAGUAACACGUGGAUAACCUCCUAUAAGACUGGGAUAACUUUGGGAAACCUGCGCUAACCCGGAUACUUAUCGAUGGAUCCUCGCUGCAUUAUCUAGUUGGUAAGGUAACGGCGUACCAAGGCAACGAUGCAUAGCCGACCUGAGAGGGUGAUCGGCCACACUGGAACUGAGACACGGUCCAGACUCCUACGGGAGGCAGCAGUGGGGAAUCUUCCGCAAUGGGCGAAAGCCUGACGGAGCAACGCCGCGUGAGUGAAGAAGGUCUUCGGAUCGUAAAGCUCUGUUAGUAGGGAGGCGGUACCGAAUGAGAAAGCCACGGCUAACUACGUGCCAGCAGCCGCGGUAAUAC